AUUUAAAUAGCUUAUAUAUGAGAGUAUAAUAUUGAAGAUAUUAUGGAGAUAAUUUUUAUCUUUAAAUA
rnacentral:tRNA from 1 species